CCGGGACGGGUGAGUAAUGUCGGGGAAACUGCCCGAUGGGAGGGGAUAACUACUGGAAACGGUAGCUAAUACCGCAUAACGUCGCAAGACCAAAGAGGGGGACCUUCGGGCCUCUUGCCAUCGGAUGUGCCCAGAUGGGAUUAGCUAGUAGGUGGGGUAACGGCUCACCUAGGCGACGAUCCCUAGCUGGUCUGAGAGGAUGACCAGCCACACUGGAACUGAGACACGGUCCAG
rnacentral:rRNA from 1 species